rnacentral:rRNA from 1 species
UACGGAGGGUGCAAGCGUUAUCCGGAUUCACUGGGUUUAAAGGGUGCGUAGGUGGGCAGUUAAGUCAGUGGUGAAAUCUCCGGGCUUAACCCGGAAACUGCCAUUGAUACUAUCUGUCUUGAAUGCCGUGGAGGUAAGCGGAAUAUGUCAUGUAGCGGUGAAAAUGCUUAGAUAUGACAUAGAACACCAAUUGCGAAGGCAGCUUACUACACGAAAAUUGACACUGAGG